rnacentral:misc_RNA from 1 species
AAAAAAAAGAUCGAUCACCAUAAAGUAUAAUUCUGAACUGAAAGUAACCAAGAACAAUAAAACAAAACAAAUUACCAAAAUUAAACAAAGGGGACAACUUUACUACACAUUUCAUUUGUAUUUUAAAAUACUUACUACACAACACAUGAACAUAACAUUUGGAAAUAUUUGCCUUCAAAAAAUAAAACCUUUGGAAAUAGUUUUGCAGAUUCAUAUAAACCGAUGCAACCAGGACAAUCAGGAAACCAUUGCAGAAGUUUGAAAUCCUUUUAUGUCAUCCUUUGUAAAGUGUUGUUUUAAAGGAUCUCACUAAGUUGGUGAGGACCCAUAUUUGAUGCAUGCAUUGGUUUCGGUAAGGAAUUUGCGCCGCAUCUGCAUGGCUAAGGCAGUAAUGCAAAAUUUGACAAGUCCAAUUUGGGACCAAAACAACAAGGCUACAGUACAGCCACAUUGUUCGAUGAAAUAAAAUUAUGUAGGUCUACGUUAGCCUGCUCAAAUCUCUUUUGCAUCUUCAAAAAAGCAGAAAAAAACAGCCUGGGUCACAGUGCUUUACAACUCUGCAGAAGAUGGUUAUACAAAAUUUUUAAGUUCAAAAUUCCAGUAAAAUAUGAAGGUCCAUUUUAAAGUACGCUAAAAUAUUUCUUGUAAAAUAUAUUAGGCACAUAACAUGUUGAAAACAAAGAAUCCAUUCAGCAAAUAGAUGAUGCAUGGCUAAGUUUUCACACAUGAAAAGAUUAGUAAAUUUUCCACUUUUCUAAGUAAUGUGCUCAAGGCUCCAAGCACAAAUGGCAAUUCUCCAAAUUGUCACGUAUAUUGGUCUCAUGAGCAGACCGCAUGCAAGUGUGUGCAUGCAUGUGUGUUUGUGUGUGUAACGAAAACACAUACUUAAAAAGUGAAUACUGAAUACAUAAUAAAGCAGUCCCAUGCAAGUAAAAAAUGUUCUAUAUGCAUAUAAGAGAGCAAGAUUACCCAUUCCAGGCACUUGAUAAUCAUUCACAAUUUCAAAGUUCUUAUACGUGUAGCCCACAAAAUUGAGAUCUUUAGAUGAAAGCAUCUUUCUCCAUGGACCAGCUUUCGUUGAACUCUGAAUUUGGCUGUCAGCCUCUUCAAACUUCUCAAAGUUUUGAGUAUCCAACUCAUCAUUGACCUCAGGAAUAAAUGCGGCUUUCAUUUGAUACAAUUUGUCCCAUUCUAAACCUUUAAACCACGGGUGAGCCUUUAUUUCAUCUGCGCCUUUUGUUCCAAGCCUCUGGUCAACAUUACAUAAGAGUUUACUGAUAAGGUCUUUAGCUUCUGGAGAUAGCUUUGCUUCUUCUGGAAAUUUUAAAUGGGUUCUCCAGUUAACUAUCUUCCUACAAGUUGACAUAGGCUCAUCUGAAUAAAAGGGUGGGUAUCCCACAAGCAUUUCAUACAUGAUUGCCCCGAGAGACCACCAAUCACAUUCCAUUCCAUAUCCUUUCUUCAGUAAAACCUCCGGGGCAAUGUAGUCAGGUGUUCCGACUGUAGAAUAAGCAAGCAUCCUCCGAUUCCUCUGCCAAUGCUGCAAUUGCUCCUGUUGUGUGCGCUUUGGUGCUGCAGGGCGUCCAUCACUCUGAAGAGCUCCACUAAGGUUGUUUCCAAGUGAAAAAUCCUUUUCUUGAAGAUUGCUGCAAUCUAAUGGUUUACAUAAUCCAAAAUCUGAUAAUUUCAUGUGACCAUGUCUAUCAAGUAGCAAGUUAUCAGGCUUGAUGUCUCUGUGAAUAUAAUUAUGUUUAUGGAUAGACUCAAUGGCCAAGACAGUUUCACCAACAUAAAACCUUGCCUCAUCCUCGGUUAGUGUAUCCUUGCGCAUUAGUAAAGUCAUCAUAUCUCCACCAGGUAGAUAUUCCAUGAUUAGAUAGAGAUACUCUUCAUCUUGGAAGGAACAGUAGAGUUUGACAAUGCAGUUGCUAUCAACCUCUGCAAGUAGAUUUCUUUCAGCUUUCACGUGUUCAACCUGGCCUCUCCGAAGCAUCUCUGAUUUCUUAAGCUUCUUCAUAGCAUACACAUGACCAGUUGACUUUUCCCUGCAGAUUCUAACCUCCCCAAAUGCGCCCUUGCCUAUCAUUGUCAAGGGUUCAAAAUCAUCAGCACCCAUUUUAUGUCUCUGAAGGCGCAUGUAUUCUGUUUCCUUCUUCUCUAAAUACUUCAGUAAAUUAUUUUGCUCUUCCUCAGAGACCUCGGCAUCAGCCAACUUCUUCUCAAGUACAUUACGUCGCUCCUUCCUCUCUUGCAGGCUCUUCAUCUGCUUUUUGUAAUGGUUUUCAAUAUACUGCUUUGCAGCAGCAGCCCUCUGCUUGGUUACAUUUGAUGGUGCUUCUUCACUUGUAGGUGCUUUUGACCCCUCCUUCCCAUUGCCAGAGGUUUCCUUAUUUUUUGCAGACUUCAACUUAUCUUUUGAUUUCAAUUUGGUAAACCAACAUCUCACAGACUCCAUGUGCUUUAAUUGAUAAAUACCUCAACCUUUUUUUUAAGUGGGAAUAAAAAGAAAAGGAAAAAUGUUGUUGACCUGUACUUUUAGAUAUACAUUUGAUUACUGAGGCGCGUACACUUUUCAACUUGAGAAUGUAAUCUAACUGAUGAGAUCAAGCAGAUUUAUAAAUGGCAUUGAUUAUUGAAGACUUCGAGCAUUUCCUGUGUAUUUGGAAGAGACAAACAACAUUCAAUUAACUUAGAAUGGUUCAUCAUUGUAUUAUCAAUAAAUUCACACCAAUAUUAAUGUUAAAAAAUGAAAAUACAUGCAGCACUUCAGUGAGGAAAAAAAGGGUUAAAUAAACUAUGGUCCAUUUGGCAGCAGAAAAGAAACUGACAAGCACUGUCUGCAAAACAUAAUUUUCUGGAUGUUUUCAGCUAUCAGCCAGCUCCUGUUCUGAAAACUUUCAAGAAAAGAAUUGCAUUUCAACAUUUCUCAAAAUUUUCCAAUAUCUUAAGAAAAAGAACAAGAACUAUGCUCACAAACUGCACUAUCUGCUUCUGCUUCUGCCUCUCCUUUUUUUUUUUUCUGCAUUUCAAACAUAAAUAGUUCUUGAUUUUGCUGUACAACAUUCCAGCCUUAACCAAAGAACACAAUACAUUAUCCAAUGUAGCCCAAUUCCACAACUUCAACCAGUGGUAUUACGUUAUACCCUCUACCCGAAAGU